UACGGAGGGUGCAAGCGUUAUCCGGAUUUACUGGGUUUAAAGGGUGCGUAGGUGGGCAGGUAAGUCAGUGGUGAAAUCUUCAAGCUUAACUUGGAAACUGCCAUUGAUACUAUUUGUCUUGAAUUAUCUGGAGGUAAGCGGAAUAUGUCAUGUAGCGGUGAAAUGCUUAGAUAUGACAUAGAACACCCAUUGCGAAGGCAGCUUACUACGGAUAUAUUGACACUGAGGCACGAAAGCGUGGGGGAUCAAACAGG
rnacentral:rRNA from 1 species